rnacentral:rRNA from 1 species
GAUGAACGCUGGCGGCGUGCCUAAUACAUGCAAGUCGAGCGAACAGACGAGGAGCUUGCUCCUUUGACGUUAGCGGCGGACGGGUGAGAAACACGUAGGUAACCUACCUAUAAGACUGGGAUAACUUCGGGAAACCGGAGCUAAUACCGGAUAAUAUUUCGAACCGCAUGGUUCGAUAGUGAAAGAUGGCUUUGCUAUCACUUAUAGAUGGACCUGCGCCGUAUUAGCUAGUUGGUAAGGUAACGGCUUACCAAGGCAACGAUACGUAGCCGACCUGAGAGGGUGAUCGGCCACACUGGAACUGAGACACGGUCCAGACUCCUACGGGAGGCAGCAGUAGGGAAUCUUCCGCAAUGGGCGAAAGCCUGACGGAGCAACGCCGCGUGAGUGAUGAAGGUCUUCGGAUCGUAAAACUCUGUUAUUAGGGAAGAACAAACGUGUAAGUAACUGUGCACGUCUUGACGGUACCUAAUCAGAAAGCCACGGCUAACUACGUG